AUCAUGGCUCCAUCAGAUUAUGACGUAAUUGGUGCUAGUUGAUUUUAGACUGGUCCCCUGUCUUGUCCCAAAUCAAAAGAUAAUAACACUGAAAUGAAUAACGUGAGAAAAAUUUGUGAAAAUACGAAAGAAGCAUAAGAACUGAAAAUGUAAGCAGCAGGACAGAUUGAUCGUGUGUGUUUUCAUUCCUAACCUCACGUCAAUGAAAAUACCAAAUAUGUGUAACA